UUUUUUCUUUUUUUCUUAAUAUUUAUUUUGAGACAGAGUCUUACUCUCUAAUGCUGCUACCUUGGGGCUUUCUGUGUAACACUGACUGGCCUUAGCCAUGUUGGCAAGCAUCAGCCUCCCAGCUGGGAUUUUUAGAUGUUAAUCACUAUACCUGACUUGAAAGUGGAUUUAACAUUUUUUUUUAAACAUAUUUAUCUAUUUAGAGUGAGUAUACACCAUGAAGGUUCUGGGAAGCACAUUUAGUUUGUCGGGCUUGGCAGGAAACACUUUUUCCCAGUGAGCCAUUUUUGCCAACUCCAUAAAAGUGCAUUUUAAAAAUUAGCUAUUUCCUCUGUGAUUUAUACUAUACUUUGUAAGGUUCUAUGGUUUUUUUCAGUGAUUUCAGUGAAUACCUUGCUUGGUUUCCUUCUGUUCACUUGUAGUAGUGUAGUUCAUGUGUGUGUGAUAUAAAUACUUUAAGUACUUUUAAGGCAGCUUGUCACCUUAAGAGUGCCUCUGGAUGGAGUCUUCAUUAGCAUGACUUCUCAAACACUACCAUAACCUGGCAAGUCAUUUCUGCACAGAGGGACUGUCCAGGGCAGGUGUCUUGUUCUCCACUUUAGGGAGGGCUGGGGAAGGAAGCCUCUGUCAACUACAGGGGAGUCAGUCUCUAACAGAUUUGUUAUCCUGAGGGGAGGGGAGAUGAGAUAGAACUUUUUACACAGAUCACUAUUAAGAUGAAAAGCUGGGCAUAGUGGUAUAUGCCUUUAAUCCCAGCAUUUGGGAAGCAGAGAUAAAAGACUUAGAGGUCAAUCUGGUCUUCAUAGUAAGUUCCAGGAUAUUGUGAGAUCCUGUUUCAAGAAACAAACACCCAACCAAUAAAGUAAACAAACAAACAAAAAACCCUAAGAACAACCAACCAAACAAGCCAGAAUGAAUUAAAACAUUAGUAUUCUGUAGUAAUUAUAUGGUAGCAUGUUUGCAUAAAAGCCUGAAUUACAGAAGAUUUUAGAGAGAUUUGCUUUAAUUAUUUCUUGACAGUCACUGAGGAAAUAAAAGUUCAGUGUAUUUUGGGAACCUGUAUAAUUGCAUGAAUAAACUUAUACUGGCAUAGUUGCCUCUCCCCAACCCCAUCCUUGGAGAACUAUUCUGUUACUCAUUGUAUAAUUACUAAGGAUGUCCAAGGCUAAGUAAGCCUCAUUUCUUCCAGAAUGGCCACAAGUCAUUCAGGCUGAGAAUGUCCUUGGCCUUGUUCUGGACAGGUGUGAGUGCUGGGACCUUGACAGUUAUGGACUUAAGUUGAACUCAAUGAUAACUGAUGUUUAUUAGGUCCCCUCAUCUAUAUCCUGUGGACAGUUUGCCUGUAUCCUUCCUCUCAUCUUGCUGAGGAAAGUAUGAUCUGCCCAGGGAGACAGCAGUGAUGACUGUUGUUAUUUGAACCCAGACCCACUGCCCUUCUCUUUAUCCCAGACAGCCUUUCCUGUUUGUGUAUAAAGAGUAACAUUUUGAUAAAUAUAUUGAGAAAGUACAGGAUGGUCCCCAUGAAAGUAUCUACCCAGCUGCCUUUAAAUGUGUACUUUCUAGUAUGUUUUAUCCCAAGCCU
rnacentral:lncRNA from 1 species